CCAGACUCCUACGGGAGGCAGCAGUAGGGAAUCUUCGGCAAUGGACGAAAGUCUGACCGAGCAACGCCGCGUGAGUGAAGAAGGUUUUCGGAUCGUAAAACUCUGUUGGUAGAGAAGAACGUUGGUGAGAGUGGAAAGCUCAUCAAGUGACGGUAACUACCCAGAAAGGGACGGCUAACUACGUGCCAGCAGCCGCGGUAAUACGUAGGUCCCGAGCGUUGUCCGGAUUUAUUGGGCGUAAAGCGAGCGCAGGUGGUUUAUUAAGUCUGGUGUAAAAGGCAGUGGCUCAACCAUUGUAUGCAUUGGAAACUGGUAGACUUGAGUGCAGGAGAGGAGAGUGGAAUUCCAUGUGUAGCGGUGAAAUGCGUAGAUAUAUGGAGGAACACCGGUGGCGAAUGCGGCUCUCUGGCCUGUAACUGACACUGAGGCUCGAAAGCGUGGGGAGCAAACAGGAUUAGAUACCCUGGUAGUCCACGCCGUAAACGAUGAGUGCUAGAUGUAGGGAGCUAUAAGUUCUCUGUAUCGCAGCUAACGCAAUAAGCACUCCGCCUGGGGAGUACGACCGCAAGGUUGAAACUCAAAGGAAUUGACGGGGGCCCGCACAAG
rnacentral:rRNA from 1 species